GUCCACGGUCAUGCCGCUCUGAACAAGCCGCAUCUUGUCUGAUCUCGGAAGCUAAGCAGGGUUGGGCCUGGUUAGUACUUAGAUGGGAGACCACCUAGGAAGAUCAGGUGCUGUAGGUG
rnacentral:rRNA from 1 species